AAACACUUUAGGCUUGCUUAGAGUGUUUAGUGGCGAAAGGGUUAGUAAUACAUGGGUAAUCUGCCUUUAACCUGGGAAUAACGGCUGGAAACGGCCGCUAAUACCGAAUGAGGUGUAUUUCGGGCAUCCGAGAUGCAUCAAAGUGGGGGACCAGCAAUGGCCUUGCGGUUGAAGAGGAGCCCAUGGGAUAUCAGCUAGUUGGAGUGGUAAAAGCACACCAAGGCUAAGACGUCUAGGCGAGUUGAGAGAUUGACCGCCAACACUGGGACUGAGACACUGCCCAGACUCCUACGGGAGGCUGCAGUCGAGAAUCAUUCGCAAUGGGCGAAAGCCUGACGAUGCGACGCCGUGUGAGCGAAGAAGGCCUUCGGGUUGUAAAGCUCUUUCGCCUGGGAACAAGAGAGGUCGAUUAAUAAUCGGCCAAUUUGAGGGUACCAGGUAAAGAAGCACCGGCUAACUCCGUGCCAGCAGCUGCGGUAAUACGGAGGGUGCAAGCAUUAAUCGGAUUUACUGGGCGUAAAGGAUGCGUAGGCGGGGGUGUAAGUCAGGUGUAAAAGACCGAAGCUCAACUUCGGAAUUGCACUUGAAACUGUUUUCCUUGAGGGUAGGCGGAGAAGACGGAAUUCCACGUGUAGCGGUGAAAUGCGUAGAUAUGUGGAAGAACACCGGUGGCGAAGGCGGUUUCCUAGCUUACAACUGACACUGAGGCGCGAAAGUGAGGGGAGCAAACAGGAUUAGAUACCCUGGUAGUCCUCACCCUAAACGAUGUAUACUAGAUGUAGUUGGAAUCAAUCCCUACUUUGCCGAAGCUAACGCGUUAAGUAUGCCGCCUGGGGAGUACGCUCGCAAGGGUGAAACUCAAAAGAAUUGACGGGGGCCCGAACAAGCAGUGGAGCAUGUGGUUUAAUUCGAUGCAACGCGAAGAACCUUACCCAGGCUUGACAUGUAGUGGAAAGCUCUAGAGAUAGAGCCCCCCGCAAGGGCCGCUAAACAGGUGCUGCAUGGCUGUCGUCAGCUCGUGCCGUGAGGUGUUGGGUUAAGUCCCGCAACGAGCGCAACCCUUAUCAUUAGUUGCCAGCAAGUUAUGUUGGGCACUCUAGUGAGACUGCCUGGGUUAACCAGGAGGAAGGUGAGGAUGAGGUCAAGUCCGCAUGGCCCUUAUGUCUGGGGCUACACACGUGCUACAAUGGCCGGUACAGAGGGCAAGUAAGCCGCGAGGUGGAGCAAAUCCCACAAAACCGAUCUCAGUUCGGAUUGUAGUCUGCAACUCGACUACAUGAAGCUGGAAUUGCUAGUAAUGGCGUGUCAGCAAUAACGCCGUGAAUACGUUCCCGGGUCUUGUACACACCGCCCGUCACAUCAUGGAAGUUGGUUUUACCCG
rnacentral:rRNA from 1 species